rnacentral:sRNA from 1 species
AUGGAGGCUAUGCCGGACGCGGUUGCGGC